ensembl:lncRNA
CUCCUUCGGUCAUGUGACGCAGACGGUUCACCUCACAAUACCGGGGUCAACCACGGCUACCAGCAUGAACGACGGCGCUUCACAACACCGUCUGAACUGACCAUUCUGGUGAAAUUCUGGACUGGAUGGGAGACUCUACCAAGAACUCUCUUCGCUGAAGUAGUGAAUGGCAGAUACCUGACAGCCUCCACCUGCUGACCUUUGUAGCGAGGACCCGAUGCCAGGUCCAGUGGACAGACUUCAGACGUCUCUGUGUGUCCCGUCCUGUCUGUGGUUGCCUGGUUACAGACGCUGCUGCACCCGCAUGUUUAAAGAUGUCUACACCUGAAACUCCACCACGUCUAAAGAAGCAAAAACGUUUGCAAAUGUACAGACUGGAGUGGGAAGAGUGGAACUCCUGGCAAUGGAUACAAGGCAAACUGUGUUUUCUGUUGCUCAUGGACUGGCUGAAGUAAGGCAGCAUCAGGAGACAAACAUGGAGGAAAUAUGAGAACAGAGAGAACCCAACCAGCAGGUCACAGUUUAUCAUCAUCUAAUCAUCUCCUGAAGUCCAUAUGGU